GAUGAACGCUAGCUAUAGGCUUAACACAUGCAAGUCGAGGGACCGGCGCACGGGUGAGUAACGCGUAUCCAACCUGCCCAUCACUAAGGGAUAACCCAGCGAAAGGUGGACUAAUACCUUAUGGUUAUGGAUGGGGAUGCGUCUGAUUAGCUUGUUGGCGGGGUAACGGCCCACCAAGGCAACGAUCAGUAGGGGUUCUGAGAGGAAGGUCCACCACAUUGGAACUGAGACCCGGACCAAACUCCUACGGGAGGGAGGAGUAAGGAACAUUGGGCAAUGGAGGCUGGUCUGAAACAGCCAAGUGGCGUGCAGGAGGACGGCGUAUGGGUUGUAAACUGUUUGUAUAUGGGGAUAGGUACCAUAUGAAUAAGGACCGGCUAAUUCCGUGCCAGCAGCCGCGGUAAUAC
rnacentral:rRNA from 1 species